rnacentral:rRNA from 1 species
GACGAACGCUGGCGGCGUGCUUAACACAUGCAAGUCGAACGAAGAGGCGAACGGGUGAGUAACGAGUAAUCAACCGGCCCUUCAGCGGGGGACAACAGGUGGAAACGACGGCGAAUACCGCAUACUGAAGGAGGGGCUUGCGGCGGAUAAGUUAGUUGGAGGGGGAAGGGCCCACAAGGGCGAGGAUCAGAAGGGGGGAUGAAGGGUUGAACGGCGAAACUGGCACUGAGACACGGCCCAGACUCCUACGGGAGGCAGCAGUGGGGAAUCUUCCGCGAUGGACGAAAGUCUGACAGAGCAACGCCGCGGGAGGGAUGACGGCCGUCGGGUUGUAAAGCGCUGUUAAUCGGGACGCGGUACCGGAAUAGAAAGCCACGGCUAACUACGUGCCAGCAGCCGCGGUAAUUC